rnacentral:rRNA from 1 species
AUUGAACGCUGGCGGCAGGCCUAACACAUGCAAGUCGAGCGGAUGAAGGGAGCUUGCUCCUGGAUUCAGCGGCGGACGGGUGAGUAAUGCCUAGGAGUCUGCCUGGUAGUGGGGGAUAACGUCCGGAAACGGGCGCUGAUACCGCAUACGUCCUGAGGGAGAAAGUGGGGGAUCUUCGGACCUCACGCGAUCAGAUGAGCCUAGGUCGGAGUAGCUAGUUGGUGGGGUAAAGGCCUACCAAGGCGACGAUCCGUAACUGGCCUGAGAGGAUGAUCAGCCACACUGGAAGUGAGACACGGGCCAGACUCCGACGGGAGGCAGCAGUGGGGAAUAUUGGGCAAUGGGCGAAAGGCUGAUCGAGCCAUGCGGGGUGUGUGAAGAAGGUCUUCGGAUGGGAGAGCUCUGUAAGUUGGGAGGAAGGGCAGUAAGUUAAUACCUUGCUGUAUUGACGGUACCAGGAGAAGAAGCACCGGCUAACUUCGUG